rnacentral:rRNA from 1 species
GUGCCAGCCGCCGCGGUAAUACGAAGGGGGCGAGCGUUGUUCGGAUUUACUGGGCGUAAAGGGCGCGCAGGCGGCUCAUUUUGUCAGGCGUGAAAGCCCCGGGCUUAACCUGGGAACUGCGUUUGAUACGGAUGGGCUAGAGUUCGGGAGAGGAGAGUGGAAUUCCCAGUGUAGAGGUGAAAUUCGUAGAUAUUGGGAAGAACACCGGUGGCGAAGGCGGCUCUCUGGACCGAGACUGACGCUGAGGCGCGAAAGCGUGGGGAGCAAACAGGAUUAGAUACCCUGGUAGUCC